ACCCCUUUGUAGUUCCUAAGUGUGAUGAUUGGGUUUUCACACCAUUGUGUGAGAUGUGCUUCCUUCAGACUUGUUACAAUGUCAGCACAUUUACCCAUCUGCAG
ensembl:snoRNA